GCAUACAUGCUACCUUUUUAAUUGGGAAAAUUACCUCAUAACCUACUAUUAAAGAAUUAAUUUCAUUAAUCAGAUUGUAAUUACUUUUUUUUUUAUUUUUUUUUUCCUAAACUCAGGUAUAAUAACCCAUUACACAACACGCUACCUACCCCACGCCAACAUCAUUCUACAUUCCACGUGAACUGUAGCCAAUAGAGAGAGAAAUUGAAGCAUAGGACAACAUAGAGAAAAUCACCAUCUUCACUACACAAUCACCCUUUCACUCCCAUGUUCUCCUCCUCUGGCGCAGCCGCCAAUUCAAUAUGUAACGGUAAUCACAAUAGCAACACUUAUAUUUGCUUUGUGUAAAAUAAGAAAUCAAGGGCUUAUUCUAGCACCUAAUUAUAGGUAAUCUCCAUUUUCCUUCUUUUACCUUAUGUGAAAAGUAAAGGUAGGCGUUGUAGGUUCACAAAAAAUAUAAUUCCAAUAAUUUGAAAUUGGUGAAGAAUAAGUCAGAUCUAGAUUUUGAUGUGGGAAGCGAGGAACAAAAUGGUGUUGAUAGUGGGCUUGCAGCUGCUAUAGACAAUAGAAAUGUUGUUGUGUCCUCAAAUGAAGUAGCCAGACAAGCUAUUAAAGAGGCAGAUGACGAUGCCUUGCCAAAUAGAUUGAGUAGUGAGGUUGAGAAUUCAAUUUUGCUUGAGGUUCCUAAUUGGCCGCUGUGUGAACUGGGUAAAACUUGGAGAUUUUGCAUCGAAAAAUUCGGGACAAGGUAUAGCUUGCUAUUUCGGGUUACGGUGGUGAUGGGUUUUGGUGAUGGUUUGUGGUAUGAGAGGAUUUAU
rnacentral:lncRNA from 1 species